rnacentral:rRNA from 1 species
UACAGAGGUCUCAAGCGUUGUUCGGAUUCAUUGGGCGUAAAGGGCGCGUAGGCGGCGGGGCAAGUCGGGUGUGAAAUCUCAGGGCUCAACCCUGAAACUGCACUCGAUACUGCUCUGCUUGAGGACUGGAGAGGAGACUGGAAUUCACGGUGUAGCAGUGAAAUGCGUAGAUAUCGUAAGGAAGACCAGUGGCGAAGGCGGGUCUCUGGACAGUUCCUGACGCUGAGGCACGAAGGUCAGGGGAGCAAACGGG